UGGGGAAUAUUGCACAAUGGGCGAAAGCCUGAUGCAGCGACGCCGCGUGAGGGAUGUCGGCCUUCGGGUUGUAAACCUCUUUCAGCAGGGACGAAGCGCAAGUGACGGUACCUGCAGAAGAAGCACCGGCUAACUACGUGCCAGCAGCCGCGGUAAUACGUAGGGUGCAAGCGUUGUCCGGAAUUACUGGGCGUAAAGAGUUCGUAGGCGGUUUGUCGCGUCGUUUGUGAAAACCAGCAGCUCAACUGCUGGCUUGCAGGCGAUACGGGCAGACUUGAGUACUGCAGGGGAGACUGGAAUUCCUGGUGUAGCGGUGAAAUGCGCAGAUAUCAGGAGGAACACCGGUGGCGAAGGCGGGUCUCUGGGCAGUAACUGACGCUGAGGAACGAAAGCGUGGGUAGCGAACAGG
rnacentral:rRNA from 1 species